CGAGCCUGCCCAGUGACAUUAUGUUUAACGGCCGCAGUAUUUUAACUGUGCUAAGGUAGCGCAAUCACUUGUCCUUUAAAUGAGGACCUGUAUGAAAGGCGUGACGAGGGCUUAACUGUCUCCUUUUCCCAGUCAAUGAAAUUGAUCUCCCCGUGCAGAAGCGGGGAUAGAACUAUAAGACGAGAAGACCCUGUGGAGCUUAAGACAUCAGGACAGCCUAUGUCACCAAGCCUCCCCCCAGAGAAAUAUAACCUAGUAGCACCUGCCCAAAUGUCUUCGGUUGGGGCGACCAUGGGGAAAGCUAAACCCCCAUGUAGACGGGGAGCACUGAUGGAGGAUAUCUCCACCAAACCCACUACAGCACUCCUAAAAACCAGGGCUUUCCGCCCUAGUUAACGAAACAUUCGACUCAGACUGAUCCGGACGAACCGAUCAACGAACCAAGUUACCCCAGGGAUAACAGCGCUAUCCCCUUUCAGAGCCCAUAUCGCCAAGGGGGCUUACGACCUCGAUGUUGGAUCAGGACAUCCUAAUGGUGCAACCGCUAUUAAGGGUUCGUUUGUUCAACGAUUAAAGUCCUACGUGAUCUG
rnacentral:rRNA from 1 species